UCAACCAACCAGGGGUAGGAAAUAUUUAAAAGAAAACAAUAAAAAAUCACAAUACAACAAUAAAAAGAGAAAUUAAAAAGAAUACAGUAUAGCAACUAUUUACAUAGCAUUUACAUUGUAUUUGGUAUUGUAAGUCAUCUGGAGGUGAUUUAAAGCAUUGAGAGGGUGUGUGUGGGCUCCGUGCAAAAGC